CCUACGGGAGGCAGCAGUGAGGAAUAUUGGUCAAUGGACGAGAGUCUGAACCAGCCAAGUCGCGUGAAGGAUGACUGCCCUCUGGGUUGUAAACUUCUUUUAUAAAGGAAUAAAACGAGGCACGUGUGCCUUUUUGCAUGUACUUUAUGAAUAAGGCUCGGCUAACUCCGUGCCAGCAGCCGCGGUAAUACGGAGGAUCCGAGCGUUAUCCGGAUUUAUUGGGUUUAAAGGGAGCGUAGAUGGGUUGUUAAGUCAGUUGUGAAAGUUUGCGGCUCAACCGUAGAAUUGCAAUUGAUACUGGCAGUCUUGAGUACAGGUGAGGUAGGCGGAAUUCGUGGUGUAGCGGUGAAAUGCGUAGAUAUCACGAAGAACCCCGAUUGCGAAGGCAGCUUACUAAACUGUGACUGACAUUGAGGCUCGAAAGUGUUGGUAGCAAACAGGAUUAGAUACCCGAGUAGUC
rnacentral:rRNA from 1 species